GGGCCCGCACAAGCGGUGGAGCAUGUGGUUCAAUUCGACGCAACGCGAAGAACCUUACCGGGGUUUGAACUGUACGGGACAGCUCUAGAGAUAGAGUCUUCCUUCGGGACCCGUAUAGAGGUGCUGCAUGGCUGUCGUCAGCUCGUGUCGUGAGAUGUUGGGUUAAGUCCCGCAACGAGCGCAACCCUUGCCUCCUGUUGCUAACGAGUAAAGUCGAGCACUCUGGAGAGACUGCCGGUGAUAAACCGGAGGAAGGUGGGGAUGACGUCAAGUCCUCAUGGCCUUUAUGCCCCGGGCUACACACGUGCUACAAUGGCUGGUACAAAGGGUCGCAAAACCGCGAGGUGGAGCUAAUCCCAAAAAGCCAGUCCCAGUUCGGAUUGCAGUCUGCAACUCGACUGCAUGAAGUUGGAAUCGCUAGUAAUCGCGGAUCAGCACGCCGCGGUGAAUACGUUCCCGGGCCUU
rnacentral:rRNA from 1 species